CACCCGGUUGACCCGGUCAUAAUUAAAUAAAAAUAUAAAAUUAUAAAAAUAAAAUUGAAACUUAAAAUGUAUAUGUCUUCAUAAAUAUAUUAAUAACAAUCAACUAUCAAUUCUUAGACAUAACAAAUAAUGCAAGAAAAAUAAUAAUAAACUAGUCAAUAAUACAAAAUACUUUCUCGAUUUAAAAAACAAGAAAAAACUAAAAAUAACACAAUCAAUAAAUCAAAUUCAAGUCGGCAUCUAUAUCUUCAUAAAACAAAUUUAAAGCUUGACCAACAUUUCCUUCAUUUUGAUUUGCAUCUAUAUCUACAUUUGUGUAUCUUUCACAAAUCAAUACCAAAAAUAAUUCAUAAUAAUAGAAACAGAAAGUAUGGGACAACAAUUUAACUGAACAAUUGCACAGAGCAUGAACCUCAUUUUCAACAACAAAUUCAACUAUAAUAAUUUUUAGCAACAAAAGAUUCAUCUCAAGAGAUGAUUUAUAUGUUUACACCAACAAAAAAUCUAGAUAAGUGAUUAUUUCAGCAAGACAACAAUAGAUUCAAUCUUAAGUGAGGAUAAUAAGUAACAAAUCCAACAUGAUUUACCGAUUUACAACAACAAAAAAUUUAACUAAGUGAUUAUUCAGCAAAACAGCACCAAAUUCAAGGUUUAAUAAACUAAGUAAUGAUUUUCGGCAACUAACAAACUUAAUACAAGUGAAGCUAAGUGAUUAUUUUGACAAGUCAAUAACAAAUUCAAGGUUCAUGAUAAUCGCUAACAAAUUUCAGCAACAAAUUACUUUCAACAACAAAAUCAAGUGCAGUGAUGUAGCAACAAAAUUGAAACAGAAAGUACAAGGGGAACUCACCGAAUUGGGUUGCACGAAGGAAGCUGACGGCAAAGGAGAAGCUAAUGGCAAGAGAGAAGCUGACGGCAAGGCUCGAAGCAAA